rnacentral:rRNA from 1 species
GACGAACGCUGGCGGCGUGCUUAACACAUGCAAGUCGAACGGAAAGGCCCUGCUUUUGUGGGGUGCUCGAGUGGCGAACGGGUGAGUAACACGUGAGUAACCUGCCCUUGACUUUGGGAUAACUUCAGGAAACUGGGGCUAAUACCGGAUAGGAGCUCCUGCUGCAUGGUGGGGGUUGGAAAGUUUCGGCGGUUGGGGAUGGACUCGCGGCUUAUCAGCUUGUUGGUGGGGUAGUGGCUUACCAAGGCUUUGACGGGUAGCCGGCCUGAGAGGGUGACCGGCCACAUUGGGACUGAGAUACGGCCCAGACUCCUACGGGAGGCAGCAGUGGGGAAUAUUGCACAAUGGGCGGAAGCCUGAUGCAGCAACGCCGCGUGCGGGAUGAUGGCCUUCGGGUUGUAAACCGCUUUCGCCUGUGACGAAGCGGGAGUGACGGUAAUGGGUAAAGAAGCACCGGCUAACUACGUG